rnacentral:rRNA from 1 species
AGUGAACGCUGGCGGUAGGCCUAACACAUGCAAGUCGAACGGCAGCACAGUAAGAGCUUGCUCUUACGGGUGGCGAGUGGCGGACGGGUGAGGAAUACAUCGGAAUCUACUUUUUCGUGGGGGAUAACGUAGGGAAACUUACGCUAAUACCGCAUACGACCUACGGGUGAAAGCAGGGGAUCUUCGGACCUUGCGCGAUUGAAUGAGCCGAUGUCGGAUUAGCUAGUUGGCGGGGUAAAGGCCCACCAAGGCGACGAUCCGUAGCUGGUCUGAGAGGAUGAUCAGCCAGACGGGCACUGAGACAGGGCCCAGACUCCUACGGGAGGCAGCAGUGGGGAAUAUUGGACGAUGGGGGCAAGCCUGAUCCAGCCAUACCGCGUGGAUGAAGAAGGCCUUCGGGUUGUAAAGCCAUUUUGUUGGGAAAGAAAAGCAGCAGGUUAAUACCCCGCUGUUCUGACGGUACCCAAAGAAUAAGCACCGGCUAACUUCGUG